rnacentral:rRNA from 1 species
UACAGAGGGUGCGAGCGUUAAUCGGAAUUAUUGGGCGUAAAGGGCGCGUAGGUGGAAACUUAAGUGGUAUGUGAAAGACCCGGGCUUAACCUGGGGAGGUCAUAUCAUACUGGGUUUCUAGAGUUCAGUAGAGGAAAGUGGAAUUCCCGGUGUAGCGGUGAAAUGCGUAGAUAUCGGGAGGAACAUCAGUGGCGAAGGCGGCUUUCUGGACUGAUACUGACACUGAGGCGCGAAAGCGUGGGGAGCAAAC